UAGCAGUGGUUGGGAGAAAAAGACUCAGUUCUCCCAUCUCAGAAACAUUGAGCCUGGAAAUAUUGCUGAAAUCACAUUUGGGAACAAAGCUCUGCUUUAAGUAGGCUCACCCAUGAGUGUUGCUAAGCAAUGGAGAGAAGGCGAGAGAGGGAGUGCGCCUGACUUCAGGAUUAGAAGGAUAGAUACAAGGGAAAACACUAAGGCUUCUACAUAGCCUUAUUUAGAGUCAGCUUCCAAGUCCUGUGUUUUUCUUGCUUGUUUUCUGACCUAUUUGUACCACAAUUAAAUGUGGUUCACUAUCUAUACCACCAUACAUCCAGCACAGAGUUGCGCUGCAUCCUGGAGCUCUGGCACAAGCAGUUACACACCAGAACUGCCAACAUGUCUCCACGUUGAACAGGAAGGAGAGAAGAAGAAAUCUUUCCUAUCAGCAGCAACAGGGAUUGCUGCAGGAAGAAGAUAAUUCCCCCCUGCUGAUCUACUGACAGCCACCGAGCUCCACAGGAGGAACAUGGCAUUUUAAUCAUGGAAUUGAAAAACACAGCAGUUCCUAAAUCUUCAGCUCACCUUGGUUGAUUUACAUACAUUUAUGACAAACAGGCUCACUGCGGAAUUAUGUUGCAUAUGGGAGAUAAUAGAGGAGGGAAGAACUCAGUGUAAUUCCUAGUUCAUGGCUGUGUGUGUAAAUCCACCAGAGCAUCCCAGAUAAAGUGACCACUCUUCCUUAAAGGCAGCAUGCGGACUUCCUAAUUCCAAGUCACUUGCCUUAUAAACUCAGUACUAUUUAAGAAAAAACUCAAUGAUAAAAAGAUCAGCAUCUUAUUAAUGCAAAUCGAGGCCUGAUCAGGGUCCACUGAAUUCAUCAGAAAACCCAUGACAGAGGCACAAGGAGUUUUGGAUAUUUCAUCAGAUCAUCAUUAUAACAAAGGCACCCCAUAUUGGGCUGGUUAAGAUGAAUGCAAAUCUUGCAUCAGAAACAGUCAAGCAUCCCCAAAAUUAAAAAUUUGAGCACACAGCAGAUUAUAGGCAGCAGCUUUGGACAUGUGGCACAACAUCUGUUACAAAAACACUAGAAAGCAGACCUGCGGCAAACUGGACCUUUGCCAGCUCUCAGGAUUUUUUUUUCCCCUCGACAAGGCUGUCAGAAAACGGACAGAUGGCAGCCGAUGCACUCACAGGAUAGUUAGUUCAGUUAACAGUCAAGUUUGCUAAAUGAUUUCAGAUUCAUUCCACACCAGGCAUUGUAUUUUGUACUGAAUCAUUAACACUGUGUCCUAAUAGGAAUAUAGUUCGGUAGCAAGAAACUGGCAGAUAUUGUAUUUCACAAAACAGUUUAACUGGAACAAUUUGUCAGAGAACAUUAGAACUCUCUUCAUGAAUAAAGCCAGAAUUGGCCAAGUUUACCAAGCUGGUUCGUACAUAAUCUUAACUCUCCAGUAUUAAAAGAAUAGGGAUUGAAAAAAACAUUAAGAUGCAGGGCAGAUAGCAGCACAAGUUGUUCCCACACGUGAACUCAACUGAAAAAGCAGUGUUAGCCAUGCACAGCAUGUGGGAUACCUUAUCACCGUGCCUUGCAUGUCUUUCCACGUGCAAGGCACUGAGCUCUCCCAGCAGGCCAGCUCUCACAAGCAGCCCUCUGGAUGGGAUGACAUGCUCAUCCCCCAGGCUCAUUGAUGUGAAGAUCUGACCCAGGAAAAUUGGUAUCUCUCAGCUUUUAUGAGUGCAACCUGCAAAUGAAGUUGAGGCACUAUACCUCCAGAGGACAAGUAAACCAACAUUGAAGACUGGUGAACAGCACACAGGUGGACUUCUGGCAUUAAGAGAACAAUCUUUUCAUUCUUCAUCUUUAUGAUCCUAUCUUCAGCAGCAUGUUUUGUAGACUAAGUAAGAGAGUUAUUCCAUCAUCUUACUUGAGGAAAAAAAAAAAAAAAAGCAAGAGAGCAAGGGUAAUCCUUGGAAAAAAAAUGUUUGAAGAAAACUAAAAGUUGCAAAGCAUUCUUAAUGACCAAUUAAGAAAUCAGUGACCUACAGAAUCAGAUAAUGGCCUACAGCAAAACUGCAGGUGAUCUGACUUGCAGUAACAUUAUUACAUUGUGCUGUAAAAGACUUGUACACUGGACCCACUCACGAGCCCUCCAAAAGCACAGAUCUGACAACGUAAGUAUUGAGCUAAGAGCAGCGCCACACAUGAGGAUGACCUCAACACCUCUCAUACAGCAACAAACUCCCCUAUGGUCAGUCAUUGAACAUGACAUGGAUCUUUUUCUACAUUCCCAUCUCUGGUGACAUUGUUGUUUUUUUUCAGAAGCAUUUAGUCAGCAUCACCACAGUUAGACAAGGAAAAAAGUAAAUCAGCAGUGGCAGCUGAGAGCUCAUCUGGCCUGCUCUAACUCAGGGGUGGUGGUACAGGAAUCUUCAGAACUCACUUUGGCUGAGCUCAUUUCUUCUGGCUCAACGUUUUGCAAAAAUCUGAUUAAACCUUAGUGAAAUUUAAUCUUUGCAUUCCAAGCCUUUUUUCCAAAGGGGGAAAAAAAAAAAAAAAAAUCAUCUGAGGGCAUAAAUUAUCAAGAGAGGAGAGACACCAACCAACUCUGAGAAAACAGAUGAAAAAUAGUUGUCUUUUCUCAGCACUUCUCAUCUGGUAAAUCUACAAAGCUAUUUCAAAAAAUGAAUUGCAGAACGGCUACAUGUUGCUUUUCAACAGUCAAAAAUACACUUUAUCAGAUAGAAAGUCAAAAAGAGUACAAAAAGGCAGGACAAAUUAGCUACAACAGAUUUUGGAAUGCCAGGCAUUCAUGAUAUUCUUUCAUAAUGCCAGAUAGUCAUAAAGGCUGAAAAUUUGGCUCCCAGCGGUCCCACAGUGGUAACUUAUUUCUCAUUUUCCCUUUAAUUCUACAACAGCCAAGUAACAAAUCUAGCAGAUAUAUAUUUUUAUAGUAACAGCACUUCCUCAUAACAGUUCUGCUUCAAAACCACACAUUAAGUUGGAAUUAGCAAAACCCAGACCGUGGCCUGGUUUUUCAGCCUAAGGUCCACACUUCCCCUUCAUCCCCUGCUAAUAUCUGUCUCACAUUGUCUCAGGAGAGAAACACAAACCAGAAUUCUUUAGCUUUCCUGAAAGCAUAUUUUCCAUUUAUGUAUAGAUAAUGCAUAGCAACAUUACACUCAAAUGAGACAACUGCCGAAAGCUGCUGCCAGGGUGUGAUUGGCCAUUCACAGAAAGCCUUUGCUACCGAGGAGGAAAGGGAUGUCAGUGGGAGUUUAUCCCCAUCUGUCAGCUCAGCAGCAGUGAUGGAGCUGAAUGAAGUCGUCUUUCUGCUCAUUCAGCAUCUGCAGCCUAAUAUUUGCCAGGAGUUUGAUCUUGACCUCUUGUCUUGGGCUGUGCCUACAGUACCUAUGGUUCCCGGGUGGCUUCCAGCCAAGCAUCAGCUUGGUCUAGGACUGCUGAGCUGGCAGAAUCAGACUGCUGUAAACCACAUUUUGUUGAUACAGCACUGUUACUGGUACUUCUUAGUUUCUCCAAAUACUCUACUACGCAGUUCACUAAGAUUAGAUUUUGCAGCUUCAAGGAAAGAGGAUAAGCAAGCCUUAUCAAAGCAAAGCAAGCAUAUAUUUAAAGAGAAAAGAAAAACAUAAAAGCAGGUGAAAAAACUGGCCAUAGGAAGGUUUUGCAAGUUGUUUUUUUCCCUCUGGUUAUCUAACAUUCCAGCCAUCCCAGAUCAACUUCUUUUUACCUUAUAUUAUCUUGGACAAUGCAAAACAUCUGCAAACAUCACAAGGGAAAUAAAAUUUUGUGCCUAAACCUAAUUAAGGAUAGUCUAAAAUAGUUGUAGAUGUAUGUAUUAGGUAUGACUAAAAAAAAAAAAAGGAAGAUAUAUAUGUCUAUGUAUUCAUAUAUUUUUAAAGCAUCUCUUCCCCUAUAGCGUUAUAAUUGCUAAUAGUUUCUGCUACUCAGUAAUCCCAGAACUCACACAAUUACGCAACAAAAACACAGUUAUACACAUACAGUUACACAGCAGUACAGUACACCAAUAGAAGCCUUUAUAUUUCAAUCAUGCAAUUAAAACUUCAACACUAAUGUUGCAAUAACAGUUAGAAAAUACUACCUAUAUAGAAAGCUACAGACCUAAAAAUUAAGGUGAUAUCAUGAACUCUUUGUACGGAUGUGCAACAAUUCAACUGUCUUUGCCUGGGCAGGUAAGAGGUUGCGCCCUGUUUGAGAUUACUUCAGAACACAUGUUCCUUGUGAAUGGUGUAGCGUUUACUAAUAGAUAUAAAUGAAUUAACGUAAGCACUAUGUUGCAUCAUUUUUUAGGUACAAAGUGGACUAACAUUGGACUAAGAUUACUGUACCAUGCCUAUGGAUUUUACUGCCUCCAUAGAGAAGCAUUAUAGACUUUUAUAAAGUCGUAGGCAAUAUAUUAGCUUUUCUUUAUAUAAAAAAAAUAAUCCAGAAACACAAGCACACAGCUUUCUUAGUAGCAUGAUGGUAACUACAGAACAUGCUAAGCAAAGUCAUAUUGCAUGACUAGAUUUUAUUCGGUUAGGGCACCUGUAAUGUUAACAGAGUGGGUAUCACAAAGACCCAAUAAUAGCUACCUUCUCUCAUCUUAUUGCCUUGAGCAAGCAGUGCCGUCUCCAAUACCAAAAACAGAAUAACAUCACAUUAAACAUGCAAAAUCCAAGAAGAUACCAGCUUUGAAUAUUCUUUGAUCUUUCAUAACAGAAGGAAGUAUAAACCAAGAUCAAGUUUAUUAAAUACAGAUAAAAGCACAGCCAAGUUCCUUCCUUUCCAACAGCAGUUAAAAAUUGGACUUAGAUUUCUUAGAGACAAUUAGUUUUAUAUUUACAUGUUACUUCUUCAGUAUACUAUUCUAAUUCAAUAAUCCAACUAGAACCCAUUUUUCUUCUGCUUCUAAACUGGGAACUGCUCUUUCUUCCCAACAUGAGGGCAUAAGUUAAUUGAGAGUAUGAACUUGUAGCACUUACACAGAGAGGGAACAGAGUUGCUGCAGUUAUACAACAAAAAUAAGAAGUUUGAGCAUUAUUUUAAAGUGUACUCUAUACACACAUAAAACAGCCUUCCAUCCAAUUCAAUUUUCACUGCAUUUUAGGAGCAGAAGAUUAGGGGUACAGGUUAGCUGAAGAGACACUGACUAUUAAAAGAAUAGAUCUCUCCACCCUUGGAAGUACCUUGAAAACUGCCUUCUGUUCCUAGCACUAUGUGAAUUCAUCACUUAAAUGCAAUGCACAAUAAACAACUGUAGUGCACUUCAAUUUCACUUUUAAAAGCAAUUUAGUCACUUUUUAUACUUCAAGGAUUGUAAUUCUUUACAACAGCAGCAGCUUGAAAUGCAUUACAAUGCCCAAUUCAUUUGAGACUUAAUUGCAGUAUGCUUUUAAUAUGGCCUUUAAGAUAAAACACAAUCUAAGUACCAUAAAAACCUUACAGCUUCUUCCACAAUUAAACUCCUUCAAUGAAGAGCACUAUCUUGUAAUUUUGCAAGUCAAAGCAUCAGCUGCAUAUGCUAGAGCACAAUGCAGCGCAAGAUGCCAGUGAUGAUGGAGGCUUUCCUUCAGAACAUGAAGGAAUAUGACACACCAAAGUACUGGUAAAUGACAUUCUGUUCUCAUGUACACGUAUAAAUAUCAGCCUGAAAAAUAAGUAUUUUCCUUACUGCUUAGAUCAUUCUCGUGGCACUCAGCAAAAGAUUUGAUGUACUGUUCCUACUGACACAAGCAGCGUAGCAUUUGCUCCAUGUAAGGCAUCACCACCCUCAGCUUUUGCUGAAUGAAUUCAGCUUACUUAACGGUUAACACAUACUAGACUAUUUCUUGAAAGAUCAUUUGAGAGGUAUGAGAAAUAGUAGUCAGAAUUCAAAUGAGCUUCAUUAAAACUUACAGCCCUAACUACGCAAAUCAACAUUUUCACCCUUCUGUUCCACUUCACCCCAGGCCAGCAAUGGCUGGGUUGAUAGAAGGUUGAGUUGUGCCCAGGGCUGGUUUCAAAACCAUGAGACAGAACAGCAUCUAUCCAUAUACAUGCCCUGCUAUCAUUAUCAUGCAAUAUUCAGCUCCCUCCUAAGAUAAUUUUCCAAGCAUACCUCAGUAUAAAGAGGUCGGAUUUUGUGUUUUAUUUUUAUUCAGUAAACAAAAAAAAACCAACAACCCAAAAACCUGUUUUAACAAAAAAAACCUAUUCGUAACUACAGACAAUAUAGUCAUGUCUCUCUGCUUUCCCAGACCAGCUGUGUAAUGUUGCUGCCCUUUUGUUAAGAUAGUUCACACUGGCACUUCAGAAAUGGCUGCAGUUUCCAAGAGAUGACAGAAUUUCACAUCCCCGCCCUAUUUCCUCUGAGUGCCAGAACCCUUCCCAACGCCUGCAGCAACGCUUUGAAGUAGGUGCAAUUGCAGCAAAUGCAAAAGAUUAAAGGAUUCUGGAGUUCAUGAAGAGAGGUGCAGAGCUCACUAUCACCAACAAGGUUCAUCUAAACAUUUUAAUUUUUUAUUUUAAAAUUUUCAUCAUGAAAAAGAGAUGCACCAUAAUUCCUUUCCCCAGGAUAUGUUUUACAUAACUGUCUAUUCUGUCUGUGACUAAAUCCUUCGAUGCAUAUAAAUGGACGUGCAUCUCAGCCUUCCAUCUGCACUCUUGGGAGAUUGUGCAGAACCUCACUCACAGACAACAGCAUAUCAAGAACUGAGAGGAUGAAAGAUGUUCAAAACAUACAGAAAUAUUACCAAAGCAUUUUCUUUUUUUAAGCAGCUCUCACAUAGAUUUCCCACAUUUUAAACAUCCUCCUAUAAAGAAGAGCUGUAAUAUUCUUCUGACAGAUUUUUGUCUUGUUAAACAUUUCAUUUACUCAGUAUUCUGUUAGUUUAGAAACUCUGAAUUGAGGCUUCAAAAAAGCAGCUGACAACACAUGAGCACCAACCACCACAUGUCCCUCCAAAGCAGCCUACCAUACUUUAUUUCAUUCAGAACAAGGAUCUCUACCUCAUUUCCUACCUUUGUUCAAAACCUUCUCAUCCUCAGUUAUAACUUGCCCACAUCACUAACCAUGUCUGAACCUCCUGGCAAGGGCACUGAUAGCACAGCUGCACACAUGCAUGGUACCACGGUACAUUGACAAGAAAGCCUAUGACACAGGCUGCAGCAAAUUUCCUUCUAAUUCAUAUUAAUGCUCAAGAGAUAACAUGCUGUUGCAUGGAGAUUUUGCUGUUUAGAGGUUGGGAUUGCAGAUGAGGAAACAGGAUCAGUCUGAGACAGAAGAUAAAGCAGUUCUGAGAAUCAGAAAUCUUUUAUUAUUUCUUUACUUCAAGUCUGUCUGCCCAAAAGUCACUUUAAAUCUUGGGAUCCUGCCUCUUCCUUUCAAUUAUGGCACAUCUUGCCAUCCCUAACCUCAGCAUCAUUUCCAUUUCUUCCAGCCCUAUAGUCCCAAUCUACCAUAAAACUUUUCACCUCAUACUCAUCUAUGCACCUUCCUUACCCUCCUUCCUGACUCUGCAGAUCCCAGCAUUGCCUCAGGUGAUGCAGAGCACACAGCUCAGCCAAAUGUGGUGGUGUCUUCAGGCAGUAACACGUUGGAGGUAUCUUUAGCAGCUGAGCUAUCAUAACCACAGCAAGCUGUUUCCACAUUUACUGCUGAGCUCCUGAACAGCCUGCUGGCCCUGAUCUGCAGUUCCCAUGAAUCAGCUGGUCCUGGUGAAGACUGUGAACUGCAUUACUGAUGCACUCCAAUUUUAGUCAGUGCAAAAUGUCUAGCUUACAUUUAACAUAGGUUGAACUUGCAUUUUUGCUGAAGUCUACUUUUUCUGGGAUGAAGCUGCUUGCAGAUCUUAGUUUCUCCUCCUGUGUACUUUAUGCACAUUUAUCAUAAGAUACCUGGUCACAGCUCUUGUCCUUCUAUCCACCCUUCCUGCCAACCAUCCAGCCAGAACUGCUGGAACAUUCUAUAGGAGCAUUACUAAUCUCAGUAUCACAGUCCAAGAACUGCUUUUUUUUAUUUUUUGAGACAUUCCCCAUUGCUCUAUUACAAGGGUAGUACUUUAGAAAAGGGGCAAGUGCAAAAAAAAAAGAGGAAUCACAGAGGGGUGCUGGUUUUAUAGUUUGAACAUGUGGAAAUGCUUUAAGGCAAACAAUACAGUAAGACUGGUAGAAAUACUAGUAAAGAUAAGUUUAAAGCCCUAACAAAUAAACAGUACUUGGUAAGUUAUAGCAUUCUGUGUUUAAUAGUCAGCAUGAAAACCUUGGGGCCAGAGUAAAAUCAACAGGUACAGAAAAUAAAAACUGCAUCCCAGCAAUGUUUGAGACUGUAUCUUGUGCACACAGUGCUUCUGAUGUGACUAGUUUUUACUAAAGGCAAAUAGGAACAUCAAGAGAAGUGUUAACUAGCGUCAGCAUUGUCUAAGUACUCAGCAAAAUGGUAAAGCACAACAAAAUUUGAGGAGUUUUAAAAAUAUUAAUUGUACAACAAAUUAAGUAUUGUCAUCACAUUUUAGAUGAAGGUUAAUGAGGUCAUUUAAAAAUUUAAAGCUUCUUCACUUUUGUGCGCAGCAUUUCAGACAUUUCCAAGAAGUUUGGUGCCAAGAGAACUAUGCAGUGUUUCUGCUUCUCCAGCUGAGUGGACACUUGCUCUCCCCAACCCUUUCACUACAGCCACACUAAGAGCACCACACUGCCUUAGUUGGUACACCCUCAGAUGUUCCCCCAGCCUUAUGAGCUAAAUUUAUUGUUCUUAACCAGUAGUGUAGUACUUAUAAGCCCCAAAGAGUGAACAGCUAGUACUUGCUCUAGUGUGUUCCACUUCAAACUCCACCCACCCACCUCCUUUUUUUUGGGGGGUAAAGCAUUAAUGACCCAGAGGUGUGAACAGAUGAAAGUGAUACCACCAAAGCCAACAACUCAAAAUACAAAAUAAUUCUGUUCCCUGCCUGGUGUCUCCUAAAUUUACUUGGCCAGUCCUCAAAGUUUUUCACAGAGACCAGAAGCCCUUAUCUGAUGGAAUUCAGCAUCAGUAACUUCAAAGUUGUGCUCUGCGGGCGCGAUGGGGAAAUCAAUCCAACCAUGGUACACAGUGAUUAGAUCUGCUAUUGCCACUCAGAAGAGAAAUGUGUGGACAGACUUGUGUAAGCGUUAGCUCAGCAUUCAUCAACAAAGGAAAAAUGAAUCAGAAGAGCAACACUUCAAGGAGCAGAGAAGGAAAGAAAACACCAUCAUGUCUGUCACCACAAAUCUACAGUAUACCCACAUUUGUGGUUUUUCUAUUUUUUUUCCCCCCUGUCUAAACUGUGUUCAGUUCUGCUUCUAAUCCCAAAAGAAUACUGAGGGAAGUAAAAUUCUAGCAGAAAAGUGUGGUUAGAGAUACCAAGUGCCAUCCAUGCUGAAAGAGUCUAAAACUAAGGCAUCCUUUCUGACUAGAAGUGAUGCAAUUAACAUGGGAAGAUAGUAUCACAGAACAGUUCUGGAGUCAAAAGCUUCCCUUGGUACUAGAACAUUGCCACAAAGCACAACUCCAAGGAUGCAAUCUAAUGCCGAUAAGCCGCUGCUGGGAUCCUCAUUCAUGGUACCUACUUAAAAGGUCAUUUGAAGUAGCUCAGCAGAACAACGUGUACAGUAACUUCCUCACCACCACCCCCUCAAGAGACAGGAUCAAACCAGGCUGACUUGGUGUUUUUACCAGAUGGUGUGCAUCAAGAGGCUUCCAACAGAGUUCUGGCUAGAAGCUAAAGCUGCCCUAAAGAUAACGUGCAAUCUAAAACUGGAGACUGAGUAAAGAUGCCACCUGCUCUGCCCCGCAACGCAAGCCAGCCUCUGGACUGGAGCCAAUUCCAGGGGCAGAGAUUACUGCAGCUUGUUCACACAUACAUGCAUAUGUGAUGGAAUGCAUUUGUUCCUAGUGCAGAGCUAUUAUUCCAGAACACACAGAGGCAAUGGAUGUUUUUUUUCCCCCACUUUUGCCUGAGGUAGGUGCCACAAAAUCUGGAGAGGUGAAAAAGGAUGAGGAAAAUCUAUAUCUUCUUAAGAAUUCUCUUUAAACAACUUUAACUCCCUUCACUGCCUUAAGCAGCAGAUUCAAGCCAGGAUGACUAUGUCCUAUUUUAUCUUCAGAGAGUUCCCAUCAAGACCAAUCUAACAAAUACAUUCCAGAUGGAACAGAAUUGCCAUUUCCCCUACAGCAGGCCUGUCCCAUUCCAGAAUGCUUUUCACAAAGCAACCCAAUGCUAAGAGCUCCUUCACCCUUCAAAAUUCAAAAUUAAGAAUUUCUUUAGAUAGAGUACAUUGGCCUAAACCCAAAAGUUUCUGAUACAAUGAACUGUUUGCAUCUCCACAUCAGAUUCUUCAAGAUAAAAUGGAAUGAACUGAUCUGAUUCAUUGGAUCAAAUCUGAACUUAAAGCUUUCACUUCACAAUAUGUGCCUAAGUGGUAAUUUCCAGUUCUGACAUAAAAAAACCCACAUAAUCACCUGCCUCUCCAGAUCAUUAAGUUUGUUUAUCCAGGUCAGCUGUUCUCUACACUACUGAAUGAACAAAUAACUGAAGUUUUUGCUUUGUAACUAACAAUCUCAAAAGAGUGAUCUGAGCAGAUGCUCAAAGAAGUCAACCCUGAAUGCAUACCAAUGUUUGCUAUUCUGCCAGCUAAGAGUCAUAGCUUUGAGUAACACCUCUGGAGAAAUCAAGCUUAAUCCUUGUGCCAAGCAAGAUUUAGUUUGAAUUUUGGACCACUGAGGUGAUAGAGAUGACUGAGAGGGGAAAAAAAAACAAAAAAAACCACACCAUGAUCUGAGCUAAAUUACUAUUGAACUGAACACCCCUCUCUUUUAUAGAGGAAGACGAGCAUGUCAGCAUGGUAAUUAUUACCUAACAGAUCUAGUUCAUGCAGAAAUCAGCUGCAAGUCUCAGAGAGUCAAAACACACUAGCCUGAGGAAAACGGAAAGCAAAUGCUUUAAGUAUUGGUAUAAAAUAAGUAAAUAAUUUUGAUAGUGAUCAACACCACUAAGGGCGGGCAUUCUAAAAGUCACAUGAAAUCACCACUCCACUCUUAAAGACUGGUCCUGUGAAGGUCAUCCAAAUUUCAGUGCAACUUCAGCUGCUCCCUGGAGCAUCUUGCACCACAUGCUUAAAUUCCAUAGUUUUGGCUUCCUCCAGGAAACCGCAGCUGCCUUACUUUGGAUAACAACAAGUCAUUAAGGUUUUCACAAACAAUUUCAAAAACUUUGAGUGGCCAUUGGUGUUUACAUGUGUGAAGGUCGAGGAAGCAGAUUGUCAACUUCUGCCUUCCUGGCUAACAACCUCCCAGGUUGCAGAUCUCAGAAAGAGACGCCAAAGUGUCAGAUGGUUUUCCUUCUGCAGUUUCCCACCCCAUUAAAAUGCUCUGCAAAGGUGUAAUGUUUGAACAGGGGCAAAAAACCACCUCUUGAAACUUUACCUCACUCACUCUUGCUUUAGCAUCAUUUGAUUGCAUACUACUGCAUAGAAAUCAGAUGCAUUUGCCUUCCUGCAUUGUGGUGUGAAGAUAGUUAGCAGAUACAUGGCAUAACCUUUAAUGAGCUUCAUCAAACUAUUAAACUGCAGAAAAUUAUUCUGUUGUCACUUUCAGCUGGAUCAUUCCAGCAGUAAUAAGCAGCUUUGAGACUGCUGAAGAGAUAGAAAAAAAAAAACAGGCCUAUCUCAGAGAGUGCAAGGUCCAACAAUGCAAAGAUUCAAACCCCUGACAUGGUGGACAGCUGCACAAAACAAAAUUAGCAGCGCUUGCACUGGUCAGAGCACACACUAAAAUAAUAACUAGAAACCCAGAGUGAUGAUAUUAGGCUUUUGUUAUAUGACCUUAUCAGAACUCCCCCUAGCUGGAAAGAGUCCUGCAGUUUUGCUUUUUCAUUUCACCCCUAGAGCCAAGCAUUGCUAAGACGCAUCUAUUUUUCCCAGCAUGUCAUUUUUAGAAGUUGAAAUUUUAUUCAAUACAUUAAGUUGUUCAUCUGUUCUCAGAAAAAGAAAACAACACCUCUAUCUAAACUUGUCGAUAGCAUAUCUGAACAGUAAGUAAAAUUACUGCACCGAGAAAGCAUUUCAUUACCAACUAUUCAGACCACGUCUUUGUUAGGAAACUGUGAUGAAUAGCACAUUUAUAAUACCUGCAUUCUAAACUAUGAUUUGCCCGCAAUACCCACUCUCAACCUUCCUGCCCACUUUUGCAAAGGCUACAAUUGCUACAAGAUCAGGUGAAGUUCUUAUUUAUUCUCGGGCAGCAUUUCUAAACAUAUGCAUUGGCAUUACAAGUCCUGUAAAAACACAGACACAGGUAUGAUGGCCUGUACAUUUGGUCUUCUGUAUCCACAUAUACUAUGCUACAUACUGCUUACAUGGUCAAUAUUUACCUCCUUCCUUCUAUGAGAGCUAUUGCAUUAUAAUUGCUUCAGUCAACCAAGGAACAGCCUGGAGUGGCAGCUAAGUUAUCAUUCUCAUGUACUCAUUGGAAAAGCUCAGGGUAGCAUUUGAAAAAACACUAGAGGUAAAGCAUUUCAGAAAACUUAGAAGUCAGGAUCAGUUUUGACCAAGGGAGAGCCCUGGACAACCACUGUAUAUACAACACUUCUACACCAAAGUUUAAGGAGCUUGGACUGUUCUCAGCACUGCAGCAAGUCUCCAGUCCUCCUUGUCAGGCCACUAUGAGCAACUGUGUCUAAAGGAACAACAUCAUUCCUGGGCUAUAAUUGGCCUAGACAACAACGUGAUACAGGAACAGACUUCCUUUACUAGCAGUUUGUUUUAUCACCCUUUCUUCUGCCUUUCAAGUGCAUGUGCUGCCUUUCUAACCUUAUAAUUAAACCAUAUUCUGCUAAGCACCAUAUGGCCAUGAGCUACUGAGUGAUACUCUUUAGGGGUCAGAAGGAAAGAAGCAGAAUAUCUCAUCCAAAGGUCAG